rnacentral:lncRNA from 1 species
UUUGCACCUGUCAUUAGUAUGAUUCCCUUUAAAGCCACUUUUAAAGUAAUAUGAAAUAUCAGUAGCCAUUUCUAAAGUUUUUGGUAUAUUUUCAACUAUUUUGUCUUGCAGUAAGUCCACAGACUCGGCUGUAAUGAGAAUCCUAGUGUGCCAAGAUUUUUUGACAUAACUCUGCCCAGAUAGACGGCAUCUGCUCUGAAGACAUUGCCUUACAUUCUGAGGCUCAGAAUGGCAGUGAACUUCCAUGAAGACAAGGAGUAAAAGGUGCUGCCAGUCAGAAUAUGCUGAGAUGAAAAAAGCCCAUAGCAAGCUGAGCAUCCUCAGGAACCCUCCUGGUGGAGGAACCAGCACAGCUUCCCUUGAUGAUAAGCAACCUCAGCCUAAUGCCAAGUCUCUCACCAUCAUUCAUUAAUGUUACUGUUUAUUUGUGAAUUUCCCAGUGAGUAGAGGGAAAAUCAAAUUAACCUGUGUUCAGUAGUCCUCAAGCCACCCAGACUGUUGGGUUGCUCCAAUGGCAAGACUUUUUCUCCAUGUUCCAGUUCCAGUUUGGAAACUUUGAAGUGUUUGAGUGGUAAUGCUCUAUUAACAAAGAAAUGUAGAGGGAAUAAAUCAGCCUUGGAAAUAUUUCA